GCUAUUGACUGUAUUUCAAUAGAAGAGGUGAGAAUUUAUUUUUAAAAGAUUUUGAACUACAGUCUUUAGUCAUCAGUUGGCUCAGUAAUAAACUGAGAGAACACUAUUUUAUUAAUUUAAAGUUGUUGUUGUUGUUUAGAGACAGGGUCUCAUGCAGCCCAGCCUGGCCUCAAACUUGCUGUGUAGCUGAGAGUGGCCUGAAACUUCUCAUCUUCCUACUUCCACUUCCUUCCCAAAAGCUAGAUUAUAGUUGUGUUUUAUGUGAUGCUGGAGAUCAAACCCUGGGCACCGAGUAUGCUAGGCAAACACUCCACCAACUGGCUAUACCCCAAGCCCCAGGAGAGAGAGAACACCCUUUCUUGCUCACGGUCCCAGCUGUCCCAGGCUUCUCCCUUCUCAGGCUGCCUAUCCUGGGCCACUCCAGCCAUCACAACCUUCAGCCGUGAAGAGUUCCAGGCAGCAGCUAACCGUCCUUGAGCUUCCUCAUGCACCAUCCGGUGUGACCUUCACCACAAGCAUAAGCCAUCUACCUUUUACAGUGGGAGAAACAGACGUGAUGAAAGAAAACCAAUUUCCCAGAGUUGUAGGAACUUGCACAAGAAUGGCCCCUCUGCCUGCCUCUAGGUCUACAGUGGGUCCCUUUCACCAUGACAACAGAAUCCUUGAAGUUUGACCCUGACUCAGAAUUGGUCUGACCUCCCUCCUGAGCUUCAAACCCCAAUUCCAGUGUCCACUGGGCUCCCCCAGGGCUUUCCCAGAACCAUCUCAAUCCCAAGCCUCAUCCUCCCCCUCCAUGCUCAGCUUGCCUGGUAGAACACAGUCAUCCUUGGCUCCCUUCUUUACCAUCACAUCCUACCUAGGCCCAUUACCCCUCAAAUCUCAGGGCUGCUCCUUCCUUCCAGACAGGCCACAACCUCACAUAGCUAAUCUCCCAGUUUUCUGUACUACACUGUCAGUCAGGUAUAGCUUCCUACUGAAACCCUUGUCUUCACUCCACCUGGCCCACCUUAUCAACACAGGACUUCUAAAGGUCACUCCUGCAGAGCCCAUGGCCUUUACUACUGUGCCCAUGAUAGUCCCUCUGGGGUCCUUCCAUUUGGCCAUCACCCCAGAGCAGCAUCCACUGAGCUGAGACAUGGAUUCCUCCUCUCACAGUCCAUCCACUUUAUCUAAGGACCUCCCUUUAACCACACAGAGGAAAACAGCUGGAAUCUGCUUUUUGACAAUGGAGCAGAGGUGUCCUAAGGGUACAAGGAGCCACAAGCCAUCUACUGUCUCCGAUGAAGAUGCUUAGUAAAUAUUUGUGGAGCAGAGGAUGAAGGUACUAAAAUGUUUCUUCUUAAGAUGCAGACAAUCUCUGGGAGCCGUUUCUCGCGCGCGAGCAAAGUACCACAUCAGGAAUUCCAGACAUCUGACCUUAUCAGCGGUGCCCCUGCGCUCCUUGCCUGGAGUUGUCUGGACCCUGACAAACACUUCAAAGCCUACCACCCUUGCCUCUCCCGGAGUGAAGGAGGUUGUCUUGGUGUUCCAUCGCUGUGAAGAGACACGGUGGCCACGGCAGUGCUUAUAAAAGAAAGCAUUUAGUUCAGGCCUGCUUACCGUUUCAGAGGGAUUUAGUCCCUUUAUCCCCAUGACAGGGAACAUGGCGGCACGCAGCUGGAGAAGUAGCUAGUGUUCUUCAGCCAGUUCUGAGGGAGCGCGGCAGGAAGAGAAAGACCCUGGCCAGGGUCUAGCUUUUGAAACUUCAAUGACCCAUUCCCAGGGACAUUUCCUUCAAUAAGGCCACACCAACAAGGUCACGCCUUCUAUCUCUUCCCAGG
rnacentral:lncRNA from 1 species